rnacentral:rRNA from 1 species
UACAGAGGGUGCGAGCGUUAAUCGGAAUUACUGGGCGUAAAGCGCGCGUAGACGGUUAUUUAAGUCGGAUGUGAAAGCCCCGGGCUCAACCUGGGAAUGGCGAUGGAUACUGGCUCGCUAGAGUGCGGUAGAGGAGAGUGGAAUUCCCGGUGUAGAGGUGAAAUUCGUAGAUAUCGGGAGGAACACCAGUGGCGAAGGCGGCGACCUGGGCCAAUAUUGACGCUGAGGUGCGAAAGCGUGGGGAGCAAACAGG